rnacentral:lncRNA from 1 species
UGCGUUCAGGUACCAGAUUGCUUAUUUGUUGCUUCCCUAUUCCAGGCUUACGCUUUAAGCGAGGAAGGACCUUGCACUUGCAUGGCUAGAUUGUGAACCACGGGCCCAUUUGAAAGUCAACCACUUGAAGGACGACCUCAACGCAUUACAUGUAUAAGAGCAACUUAGCAGAAUAUUUGUGAAGGGAAAGGACGCCGUGACUUCUGCCGUGACGAAAUAUUUUGCCACAUUACCAAGGUCGCUCUGUGGUCGGUAACCUUCAAUAAGCAAGUAAUCAUUAAGCUUGUGGACAGAAAGCGCGAUCAACUGGAUAUUUGACAUGAUGAAUACUCGAUCGCUUAGGCCAUACGGUCAUGGCGCUACCUGCAGGUUCCCGAGGACAUUGUGCAAAGCAUUUUGUCCAGUCAAGAAUCGGACAUGCCGUCUACCCUCCACGAUAGUCCUUGCUGCUAAAGGCUCAAAAAACACAGCUUCCAAGGGCUUCGGUGCCCCAAAGCAACAGCCCGCUAAGGGAAUUGCUUCAGAUGCAGUUUGCCCUUGUGGCAGCGGAGCUGUGUACGAGGUGAGACGUCGGAACGGGGUUAUGAAAAAAGUUUUAAAUUUUGAUGUAGCAAUCCGGGGCCGCCUGGUACAAUAGGACAAGGGGGCCAAGCGGAAGGCUGGCUUUUUCAACCUGAGGACGGCUGACAGCUAAAUGGAGGAUUGACUUUCCAUCAUAUCCAUCGUCGCACCCUCUCAAUCAUACCCCUUUGAGCUCCAGUCCCGCUCCGUUCCCCUCGCCCCUGCCCCCGUUCUGGCCCUCUACUCCACAACCCAUCUCUCCUUUCAGGCCUGCUGCCUGCCGUACCACCAGGGCCCUGCCGUACCUCCCACGCCGGAGGCCCUCCUCCGCUCUCGCUACAGCGCUUACGUGGCUAAGGAGCCUGCGUUCAUCGCCGACACCACCCACCCUGACUCCCCUGAGUACACAGGCUCCCGGGCCUCCUACAUGGGCACCGUCAAGCAGACCAUGAGGCGACUGGACCCCUUACAGCUUACCCUGCUGGGCAGUGAACCGGGCACCAGCCAGGAUGAGGCGUUCAUUACCUUUAGGCUCAAGAGGAGGGUUCGGGAUCCGGAGGCCCCGAAGGGUGCUGCGGCCGAGGUGGGUGUGGGGGUGGUGAUUUGUUCUUGGUCGGGCGAGACUGUGGGAUUUCUGAGGAGAAGAGUCCUACCCUCUCACCACCCUCAUGCUCGCGAAGUCAAACCAAACCCCAACUUCAUUCGCAGGUUGACGAACUGACGGAGCGCAGCCGGUUCAUCCGCGUCAAGGCUCGCUGGAUGUACCUGGACAGCCAGUUUAUAGAGGAGGAGGAACAGGAGCAGCAGGGGAAGGAGAAAGACAAGAAGGCGGUCGUGACAGGGGCGGGAGAUGCUCAGCCCGGGGCACCGCCUAAGAAAAAGGGCCUCUUCAACUUGUUCUAGGAUUAUGACGGACUUGACAAGGCUCUGGGAACUGGCACCUGCACCCGUCUUAUUGCAUUUUUCUUCGCCGUUUCCGGUUGGGCAGGAAUGCGAGGUGCUGUUGUCCGUUGGAAAGUGCGACAUCCACGGCAGUCAAUUACGCUGUUGUACACGACGAAACAUAGAUUUCCACGGAGGCCACGAUAUGGCCAUUUUGCGAUCUCAAUCCAGGACUAGAAAGAAGAUAACGCGUCGUCCACCACCUCGGAUUUAUUUUGUUUUAUGUUCAUUUGUUUAUUUGCGCCCGGCGGCUGCACUCGCAACUUAAGGAAAGCAGAUGAGAGGGGAUGCGGAAACGUAGAUGGCGCUGUGCGGGAGCGUCGGGAACAGCAGCAGCCUCGACCCAACCAUAGGACUUACGUAAUAUUUUCUGGGGGGGGCUCUUCGGGUUCGGAACCUCCAAGGCCGCCUCUGCAAAGGUGUGUUUUGCCUGUGUCACUGGCAAAGCUAUGUGGAGAAGCACCCGCGCACACACUGUUUUGUUUUGUUAACCGGCUUGCGUGUCCGUUCGCAUUUACAAAUACUUCGCUGCUUACUGCAUUGCAUAUGUAUGCGUCCGGUUCAAGGUCCUCAACCAAAAUCUACCCCCAAACUGGCGGAGGCAGCCGUCAACACGGACCGCCAGACGGGCAGCCCGGGCCUGCAUGUCCUACCUACACUUGCGAGGGCAUAUAUGGCAACGGCAUUCCCACUGGCAUUUUCUCUCUGUUGCGAAGCCACGAGCUUACAACGCCAGGAGGUUCCGAGGGUGCUCCUGAUGGGCAGCCGGAUGGGUCGGCGGGUGAGUCCGCUUCGGGAAUGAACCCCUGUCAGCACCAGCAGUAAGCCGAUGCGCUGACAUUACCAUGGCGGCAACCAGCCUCCUAGCCACAUACCCUAAGAACGGGCGCCGAAACGUAGCGCGGUUAUCCCUGUCAAACCCACACACAUAUCAACACAUUUCAUGGACAGCAUCAGCGUAAACUUUAAAUUCUGUCAGCAGGUAUUGGGCCCGUUGCUUUACAAAUGCCGCCCUUCGCUCCGGAGCUAAGGAUACGUUCAAACAAAACGUACCUGAUUACCGUCGCGAGUAGAUCCGAUCAAUCUAAAAGGUCUUGCGCACCAUAAGGCCUGGAGGACCCCAGGUGGAAGUGGAGCGGGGAGGGGCAGGGCCGGGGGCAAGCGAAAGGAGCCGGGCAGCGCGCAAGGUGCAAGAAUGUAACACGGGUGGGUGCUCAUGCCGGGAAAGUUCUUCAUCAUAUGACGUUUUGUGCACAUAUGGUUUUGUUGGAAAAGGGGAGAUUGUGAGAUCUCGGAGCUCAGACCACGAGUCGUGUUGUUCGUCUGGGUCAAACAACGGAAGUGACGUUCCGCUGUGCUUUCUCUCUCCAUUUUUACACCUUUCAUUUUCCCACGGGGGUCUAAACAGCGCCGAUCUCACGUCAGUCCCCCCGCACCGCUCGUUGUUGUUGUUGUUGAUGGGGUGUUACACUGUGGGCGGCUCGCCCGAUAAAGGACGAGCACCGGGGGCCCUGACCGGGCCGAAACACAGCGCAGGGAUGGGCGCGCGGCUCUACGUCCGUCUGUUCCUCCGCGCGCGCCUCGAUCCCUCACUCACGCCAACCGGGACGCUCUCCCAGCCCCUGGCUAGGCAACACAGCGGCGCAGAAGCCUGCGAACCGAUCUAUGCGAGAGCCGCACGAAAGGCGCCACUUCGCCUGGCCUGCCUAUUCACGCGCUCUCGUCCCUCUUGACCGCCAAAACAAGAGCAAAAAGAAAACAGAAAACACCACCGGGGGCAGGGGCUCUACUCAGGGGGCUGUUGUUGUUGUUGUUGUUACAUGGUCGUGGGUGCGUUCCCCGUACCUGCAAACCACCCUAGUACGAGCCGAGGGCUCAAGGGCUGCCAAAUCGCCUAUAAGCACCAUCCUACCUCGCAUUUCCAACGAAACAAGUGAUGAAGUAUACUAACGACCAAAGGGAACGAUAGAGUUACGGUGGGACCAUAUGCGUUCCAGCAUCCUUGCCAGGCGUUCAGGUUCCCACUUCAUAGCGUCCUUCAUAUGGUUCAAAGCGUGGAAAGCCCAUAUCAGAUCUGAUUUCGUCGUACACCGGACAGUCCAGCAAAAUGUGUUUUUCAUCCUCGAUAUGGCUAUCAGUGUCGCAGCAAGGGCAUACUCGCUCGUUGUGAAAUGGCAAUGCGCUCAUUACCGCCUUGAAUUCCUGAGAGACCCACGGCGUGGGGGUUUAGGUGGCCUGGUCGGGGGAAAGCCCAUUUGCCUGAGCGGGGAAAGUGAAAUGAGGAACUUGUUGCUUUGAAAGCAGUUAAUGAACUUUCGCUACAUGCACAUGGUUAGGCAUGGUUCUUCGGCGUGUCCCGUACCUUUUCCCCCAGCAGCGCCCAAGGACAAUGCGCAUUUGCGUUGCGACUGGGCCGCCGAUGACAGUGUAGGUACAUGGCAUGGAUGUUAAAAACAUACAUUGCAACGCCCAAACAGCAACCCUUCCCGACCCUCGACAACAUCGUAAGGUGUGCACAAACUUUUACACUUACAGCACGUUACGAUAGCAGUUGCUGCAACGUGAAGCUACGUCGCGAAGUGCACUGCAGCCUUGCAGGAAAAAUGAAAUGACACACUCCUUUUUGAGAGUUUAGUAAUUUCAGCGCGUAUGACAUUGGCCCCGUACGUACUGCAGCCCGCCAUCCUGGCAGGAAAAACGAGCAAGGCGAAAGAAGCGACCUCUCCUGGCAUCGGGCCGGCCCUUGCCUAGUUGACUAGUAUCAACGGCACACAGAGCCGGCUGGCGAGUCAGUGCCAGCAAACCAAACAACCCCCCUCCUGGUGCAUCUUAGUUGGCAUCAUCAAGAUAGCAACGUAGGACCAAAACGUGAAUUAAUUCUGUCACCGAAAGGCAGUUCACGCAAAACUGUGCUGGCCCCCUCAGUCCGCAGUUCAGCCCUAGUCCCUGCCGUAAUCCUGCCGUAAUCGCGGCCCCCUUCCGAUGCCUACCGAUCGCAGUCUUGCCGGUAAAUUAACUGUCACCACAACCCGCUCCCCGUCCGUUUUUCGCAUGCCGUUUGCAUUUGUUCGUAGCCACUUUCAUGCACACUCUCGUCUGCACAAACCUACCAGAUAUGCCUAUCUAACCCUCGCACGCAUACACGUCCGUGCACGGACAUCUGCGGGACUUACACCGCCGAAUAUAUGCAUGGGUCUCUUCACAUAUGCUUGAUACUCAAACUGUGCAUCAUCCAUCUGCAGGCAUGGCUGAAGCCCCAGCACGACAGACCCAAUUGCUGCUUAACAGCCCCAGUGAAGCAGCUUGGCCUUUGAGCCGCAGCGCAGCCUUGGGGUCCCAACAUCUAGUAGCUUCCCACACACAAACGUAAACACAAACACACGCCGCCCAGUGCUCUAUCAACUUUCCUCAACGCUACGGCAAAGUAGCCCACACAUUGGACCGGUAGUGCUCAAGAGCUCACCUCCCCCCCGGUAUAUCUGCACCCACCACAUAUAUGUGUAUAUCUGCACCACCACAUAGCCCGUUCGGUUUCAUUUCAACAACGAUGUGGGCGAUAUCGUCCAUGACACAGAUCGAAUGCGCGUAUCGAGAGCCAGCAAUGCACAGGUAAAAUAACCCUAUCCGUACAAGGUCGGACUCCCGGACUCUCCCUUGCGUCGUCGUAAAAGGCGGCCGCGCCAGCUUCCCCAUCUCACCCACAUGCCAUGCCGUCCACUGCCGCGCAUGUCUCCCCUAAGAAGCUGAUAUCAUGAAACCACCAAACGAUCCACUCGUCGCUCUUUCAAGACUUAGUGGGCAACGUCAUGGAGGAGUAGUUCACUCAAGCCGCUGUCACAUUUUGCAAAAGCGACACGUAGCCCCGAGCUACGGAUCUCCAGUCUCGCCCGUAGGAGUAAUCCUUAGCUGCACUCUGGAACUUCACUCGGAGCUUCUCGUCGCGAAGGAGUUUCAAGAUUCCCUCGCGCAGCGCGGGCGAGCUCUCGAACUCCACCAGUAUACCCCGUCCCACCAGCGCCGACGCGGCGUGGUCGAACGCCGUCGACACGACGGCUUUCCCGGCGGCCAUGGCCAUCGUAAGAGUACCUGAAUUGGUCGUUAUACGCUCCGUGUACGGCAGGACAAAUAUGUCAGCCGCCUGAACGUAUCGCAACAGCAACUCGUUCUCCAGGAACUUGCUGACAAACCUGACAUUGUCUAGGAUGCGGGGGUCUGACGCAUCUUUGACCAACCUUGCAUAGUAAUCCGUGCACGGCUGACCGCAGUCGGGGUGUGGCUCGCCGACGAUCAAGUACACCACGUUUGGGAAAUCCUUGACGAUUUCGGGCAAGGCAUGAAGCACCAAAUGGAUUCCCUUCCCCGGGCUGAGCAAGCCGUUGGUCAGCAAGACGGUCUUCCCCGUCAGGUUCAGGACGGACUUCGCUGCGAGCGGGUCCACAGCUGUCAUCAAGGGGGCUCCGUGGGGUAGUACGACGACGUUGGCGCCAGGGAUACCAUGAAGAGCCCCCAGCUUAUUGCGGCUGGACUCGGACAUCACAACAACGUUGGUGGACGCUGCCGACAGGUGCUGCAGUAUGUACUGUUGCGGGUUCCCCAGGUUGUCGCUGAGUGUGUGAAUCACGCUGAUGACCGGCACCUCCAGCAUUUUCGCAAAGCAGACAACCAAGCUGCCAACCGUACCACCCCAUAUCCCGAACUCAUGCUGCAAGAUCACCGCGUGAAAUCCCUCGCUGUUAACGUAAUGCGCAGCCGAGAUGUAGUCGCCGUAGUUUUCCUGCCGAAUGAAGCGCGUGCUUUGCUCAGGGCCACGGGUUGCUGGUAUCUCGGCAUCCCAGACCAGAGGCAGAAUCUCCACAGAGCUUUCUUUCGGCAGCAGAGGCUGCAAGUGCUCCAAAAGAGCCGCGUUGAAAGUUGCGAUCCCACAGCGACGGGGAAGCGCCGUCGACACCACAGCGACCUUCAGCGCCGGCUUGCUCUGUUUGGCGCGAGGGCUGGCUUUGGGGAACGCACCGCACAUGUGCACAUCCACUGGGAUGGGGUCCUUGGCCAUGUCCAGGGAUUUUGGUGCGCGAGGGCUCGCCAAUUUUAGCUCAGAUUCACCAAUUUCUCUGAGGCGCUCCAGAACCAUGUUACUCACGAUCUUGUUGUCGUACCGUUCGACUACCCUAAGCCUGGCCUUGUUUCCGAUCGCGCGCAGGCUACGGCUGCGGUAAGCCGCCAGGAAAGCCGCCGUCAAAUCGUCUACGUUUGGCUUCGCCCAGUUUGACCCUCGCAGCCCUUUGUCUGAUGUGUGAACGGGAACCAUCGUGUGAUUGACCUGGAAUGCGAAAUCCGGCUGGAUGUAUUCCGCCAGGCCGCCCCAUGUGGCCGAUAUGAUAGGUUUGCCGAGACUCAUUGCCUCCAAGUACGGCACAUCCCAGCCUUCACUUCGGAGCGGUACGACCAGAACGUCGACGGACGAGCAGAUCCUUAGAAGCUCGUCCUGCAGGAGCUGCCUGCCGAGCACGUGCACGUGCGGUGCACUGUCGUCCCGAGGAUCGGCGUCCAGGCUGAUGGACUGCAGAUAAGGGUCGCCGCUGCUGAGCAGGAAGGUGUUCAUCGCGUCGUAGAUGUAGUCCUUUCGGUAGGUCAUCUCGGGUAGCAUGGCCGUGUGGACAUAGAGCGAUACGUCCGCUGUGCGGUUACGGAACGCCUGCAGCCGCAGCCACACCACCAAAACAAGGGGGGAAGGGGUCGCUGAUUGGCUGAUUAGGUGUCUCCGUCAUCAUGGUUUGGUUGUUAAGAGCACCCGGUUUGUCCACGGACUAUGCAAUAUGUUUGCAGUCUAAAAAAGUGGGUUAAACCGAUGAUCCUGCUCCAAUCCAUUUUUAUAUCGAAACCUAACCAUCGCCUUCUAUCCAACCCACCCACCUGGAACUAGACACGUACAGGCAUCCGUACUGCAAAAUGACGUUUAGGGUAUUUAUAUCUGCUCCUGCCUCCGUGUCGGUAUGGCAGUUCUUCCCUACCUUCAGGUAGGCCGAAAGCACCGCCUGCCAGCCCGUGUAAUCAUCCAACCGGAACGAUGCCAAGAAAGCCACCCGGCGCUGCCUCGGUAGCGUCACCGGCUCCCAGAUAUCCGGGUCGUACAUCCACGAAUCCACACUAUCCGGAAUGACGAAGAUCUUAUCCGCCCUGACCCCUUGGCUCUCCAGGAUUGCGGCAUGCCAGUUAGACGGCACCCAAACCUCGUCCAGCUCGUUCUUCAUCUGGUUCGCCCACUGGCGGUUAACGCGGUCCAGAUCCCAUGAGUAGCGUCCAAUCAGGUAGGACGAUGAGUUGUUUGGAGGCCAUGGCCACGCAGCCAGCUGGCGAUAGUCCUUUUGAUGGAUUAUGAUGUCGGAUGGCAGGUAGGCGGAUAGGCCCCGGAGCCGGUGCACCCUCCUGGAGAAUGACAGCGGAGCUGCCUGGAGGACGUCUGGAUGCUCGCAAAAGGGCCAACCACGCUGUAUCUGCGCCCUGAGCUGCAGCCGUCCCUCCAGGUGCUGCACGAGGUUGUAGGCCUUGGCGCCGUCAGAGCCACCACAUUGCAUGACCCAGCUCACCGUUGCAUUACUCGCCAAGUCCGAGGCAUACUGCGCGGCAAGGUCACGCCCCCAGAGCUCGUCGAACGCCUGCAGCGCCGCCGGGUCUUGACGCGACUCAGUGGCCGUUUCGAUGAAGAUACUGGCGGGAGACACCAGCACAGCAUGCCGACCGUAGCGGUAAAGCCGAAGAGCCAUGUCCGAACAGGCUAAAGAGCUCCCCAACUCUACGGAAAAGCCGCCAUUUUCCAGGAGGCUUCUGGCGGCGGAAGCGCGCAUCACCCAAGCUGAGCAGUCCGCAGCGCGUAUCUCCGCGGGCUUCAUGGCUGGGCGGUAACUCCAAGGGUAUCCUGCGUACAUCGCCACAGGCUGGACUACCUGACGGCCCAAGUAGUCAUCAAACACCUUCUCGAACCGAGACCCAGAGCUUUUUAUCGUGCCGUUUGCAAACAAGACCUUGGCGAAAACCGCAGCCGCAUCGGUGUGCUGAUGGAGCCCGUUGACCAGCCCCGACAGCCAGCCGUACAAGGGCCGCAAGGACUCCACCACUACGGCGACAUAAGGGGUCUCCGGGUCCCGUUCGAGAACCUGCUGCAGGCCAAACCGCACGCAUGCGUCCCAAUGCAGCUCUCCGGCGGGGUGCAGAGUCGCCAGGGUACCAGCCACAGGCUCUGUGAGGCUAGUUGAGUCCGGGGCGAGGUCCUGACCCGAACAGUCAACCAGGAACACCUUGGCAUGGCAGGAGCCGCCAGUGUAGCGCUGCAAAUGGCUGGCUAGGAUCUGCACCUGUGCGAGGUUGGUGCGGUCCACCAUAGGCAAUACAACCGCUGCAUCGCAUUGGGACAGCUGGCCGGGCACGGCGGGUUUGGUCCAUGCAGAUUUUCCAGCGGCCGGCCACGCCCACCGCGGCGUCGCGUUGACAUUCAGCACAUGGCCGGUGAUGGGCAGUUCGGGUGACAUGCUCAUCACCACUUCGUGGGGCUCCAGUUGGCGGGGCCACACGCGGACGUUCCCGACUUGGCCCGGGAAGCGGCCUUCAAACCACCGCGGAGAUCUGCCCAGGUGCAGCGGGGAGAAAUCCGCGAGCGGGCUGACCUCGGCUGUUUGCCGCAAGGCGCCAUUCACGUACAGGUUCGCCUUGCCGGAGCUGUAAGUGAGCACGAAGUAGUUCCUGCAAGGAGGCAACAAGUCCAGAAUGGGCAAUGUUAUCUGUCUGCUGGUUUAAUGGAUCUUGCCACGGCAGACAUGACAAUAUUGUCGCUGCGUAUUGUCGAGGAGUGUGUCGAGGGCGCCACGUCGACGAAGGAGAAAGAAUGAGAAGCCGUAUGCAUCAAUCCUUGUACUGGCGCUCAAGCACCAUGCAUCACACCGCGGAUCAAGUGCGUAGCGACACAUGUUUAGUUGAUUGUAAGCGGCCAUGGGCCUGUGUAGCCUUAGUGAGUCUUACCAGCUGUCCGCAGUAACCGCUCCGGCGUAUCGAUGUAUGGGAGGAGGGUCGCGGAGGGAUGCAGAAAACCAAGCCGCGUCCGAUUCGGAAAUGGUGUAGGCCGCAAGGCAAAAGAAGGUCAUCUGGGACUGUGAGUUCCGUACGACGACUGUGCAGCCUGCGUACAGCAAACGCCAAGCUAUGAAGGCGGGUGAUAAGGACAGAGACCGGCUGGAUCGUCGAUUGGGGAAUUAUCUCGCUCUUCAUUCAAAAUAGUGGAGGAGAUCCCGGUCGCCCCGUGCAUGGGACUCACCGGGCAGUUGUACGCAUUGUCGCAAUGCGCUUUGGAAAGAGGGCGUGUGGCUGAUUUUCAAGGUACGGUCCGCGCAGCGGCAGCGCCGGUUGGGUUGGUAGUCGAAAUGCCGUCGCAAAUCAGGCCACGCCUCCUCCACGGCAAGAUAUGGCACCGCUGGGGCCGCGAACUUGAGACUGGCUGAACCAAUUGAGAACGCGGUUACGUCGAGUACGUCGUCCAGGCUGUAAUCCAGGCGCACCCAGCCUGCCACACUGCCGAUAUACAUGCAUCAGGGCAAGGUAAUCUUUUAUUAAGUCGAUUACCCUUGCGAUUACCCUUGCGACGGGAGAUGUAGCGCAUCCUAAGCAUCGAAUUUUGAAUACCUCGCUUGAAAUACUGUGCUCAGGCUUUGUUCUUGCACUUCUCUUCCCUAGCCUCUUAUUGCGCCAUUGCCCUCCCAAUGGUUCAGGGUGGUUCGGCAUUGCGCCCGGCCCUCGCAUACCCGCCUUAACAGCCCGCCUUUACACCGCCCCGCAUACCACAAAUCGCAUCAUCUCUGCCUGCUUGUUUUCCGUGUGUUCACGGGGUCGCCGACGAGCGCCCGACCGUGCUUAGCUGCUUCGUCGCUGGUGCGCGUGCAUGGUAUCACGCGAUGGUACUCAACACAACAGCACGACAUUGCACCGGGUUAAACCAUCGCGCCAAACUUUCAUCCACGCACAUUUCUGAAAUUAUGUAUGACCAUUAAAACUGCACAGGGAGCUCAUCGGUUUCGUAGCAGCGUUUCCGUUGUUUACUUGGCGUCGCUCGGGACGCGUGCUAACGUAAAAUAUCAUCCUCAAUUUAACGUAAAGCAUCAGCCCCUUUUACAUUGGAGUUAUCAUUGGUUUGGGCGAAUUCCAGUAUAUCCCAGGUUUUUCGGGUCGCUCUGCAUUUCGUUGUCAAUGCUGGACACCGCUUAAUUAGGGAAUUCCUUUUGAAUGUGCCGGCGCCUGUGAUAGAUGCUUUAAAGCAUCUUUAUAACAUUUAUUUCAACAGUUUUUAUUAUUAUUUUUGUAUAUUCGAGUCGCCUUCAGUCCCCCGAAGCCCGCCAAAAUUGCCUAAUCACCCUCUUUGCCAACGGUGGUGUGGAAGGUUGUGGUGGUGUGGAAGGGAAGGUCUCCUUGGCGGUGGAAAACCUCACCUCCAAGAACUGUUCAGGCCACGGAUCUUGAAACUGCGGCAUACUGAACCAGAUCCGCACUGCAAGGUGCACGCAAGGUCCAUCACCAGCGCGUCAGUCGGGUGUCAAUCCACCAUAUUGAUGCUAUGAUUUCCUAUUGCGAAAAUAAAAUAAUCGUAAUAAGUUAUUCGCACCUGUAAUCUGCUCUGCCCCGAUAAGCCGCUGGACAAGUUUAUGACGCAGUCCCCGUUGUAACAAACUUGAUGUCGAAAGUUGUCCUUCAGGUAAUGCUUAUGUGUGAUCAACCAUGUGGAACAGCUGACAAGAAAUGCAAGCGCUAGAAGGAUCCAAGACCAGCCUUUGAAGCAUCUGACAUGUUGCGGCCUGGCCGAGGUUCGCCUCAUCAGAACAGCUUCCUACCAGUCGGCCCUAUAGCGGACUGCCGUUACGUUUGAAGAAAAUUCGGCAUGAUAAGCCUAAGAAUUCUGAAGUUUGGCAGCAUAUUGGGGAUCGAGCGAGUUGGGAAUGUCAACAGGCAAUACGAGGCAAUGCGCUCGUACGACUGAACUACGUGCGCGCGAAAGCGGAAAUGGAAUAUUAACAGGCAAUUCUCCUCAAUUAUGUAUGCUCUAACUCCUGUGAUGCAUAAACCAUAUAACGGGCUGAGGGGGUCGCAGCGCUUGCCGUCGACACGACUUCACCCAAACCUGGUUCACGCCACUGGAUCUUCGGAGGGGCUUGGGCACCUCUCCAACGGGCUAUCGCUUCUAAAAGCCAUCAGCUUCAAAGUUGCUCGCCACCGCUUUGAACUGAGUAUGAGAAUCAAAAUGCAAUACCUUGAGCACAUUUGUCAAAAUAGCGAAGGACCAUACAAACAGUACUAAGUUUGCCGGGAGUAGUACAAGUAAUAAAAACCCUGGCACAUGUGCAACUAUGUGCAGGACAGCCUUGCCAAAGCCGCUUAUAAACAAAUUGGACGGCGAAAUCACUUUUCCAACGACAUCUGCGGUGCUUGGAACUCAGUACAUAUUAAGUAUGCGCCAUUCCAUACUCCUUCGCACAUAUUCGCACCGGGUUUAGGGGCAGCGCAGGCAGCUGAUAGCAUGACAAUACGCCUGAAAUGCCGGGAUACGCUCGAUUCGCUGAAGGUGGACUCAUAAUGCAGUGUCGGGCCGGAGACGCGCGUACUCGCAGGGCCCGCUCUCUAGUUCCGGAACCUGCUUUCCCUGUGGUCCACAAGCAGAUUUCAUCUCCGGUAAUGGUCCGGAGCGGGGAAAUAGCCAAAAAAUCAGCGUUCUUUAUAUCUAUACUGUUCAGCAUCAGGAUGUUCAUGCCAGCUUAAAUGCUUAAGAGCAGAAGUGCUUAGUGCUCAGGUGGGCUCAGUGAUGUUCAAGGCAUCGAUGGGGGGGAUGGUUCGGGUUGUAUCAGCCGCUCAGGUUGUCCAGGUCCACACGCACGCAAACACCCCAACGGACGCGGGGCGCAGGGCGGAGAAGGCGGAGGCCCCUACAUCUGGCAGCUGACAUGGCAGAAAUGCGCCGCGGUAGGUUAAGGUAAAAGUUGGGGAGAAGAUGGCGUGAGCUUAAGGUGUUAGGGAUUAGGAGGUCAAGUAAUUGUUUAUUAGGAGGUCAAUUGACCUCCUAAUAAUCACUUGCAAGUGAUUCGCCUCAAAAUUCGCCUUUUCAUAUCCAGCCGCAUUUGUGAGUCUCCAAAUACAUCAGUUGUAACUAUUAAUAGUUACAUGAUAAUGGUUGGAAACUGCGUACUAUUUAGGCCUCCGACGUCUGAAGGAUGAGACGUAAAAGUUCGGGCGUGUAUAUGUAAAGGGAGACCACUGCGCCAAAGAAAUAUCAUGGAUAAAUUGUAUUAACACCUAAUAUUAUACAAGCAGAUUAUACAUGAAUCCGGCAUAUGCGCGUUGCUCGACAUUCGUUCGCCAAGGGACUCUUCUCCCAUCCUAUUUAACGCUGCGUGGCGUUUAACAUCAUGGGACCGACAUCAAAGAUAAAUUAACCGAUUAAGUUUUGCCACCAGCGCUGGAUUAGCUUGAUAGGUAACGACAAGGACUUUGCUGUGAGUUUCACCGAAUCGUUGGAGCGGCGACAGCUCGGCGACUAACUUCGUCUUUAAUCCUCUUGUCAAUCGCACAUUGCUCCCCAAUAUCUUAUGAGACUCUGAGCCAUCAGACUAUAGGAAUAAAAUUAAAUUGAAUUACGUUGGAUUAAUUUGCACCCUGUGUGCCAUGCUGGUGCAAGACAUCCUGACAGACGGAAAGGUCCGACGCGACCCGACCCGACUAUUUCCUGUGCCCUCGACAAGGGAACAUCCAGACCUAAAUUUUUAUUCCGGUAUGGCAUCGGCAUUCAUUCAAAUUUCCUGCAUUGAGGUCGGCGGCAUGUGCGGCAAUGUAAAAGUUUGUUUUGCGUCGUGCGCGUACGACAGCAGCACAGCACAAAGCUUGCCGCCUAAUGACAGCGCUAAUGGCAUUCUUAUCAGAAAUAUCCAUCACAAGGAUGGUCGGUCUGAAGGCUGCGCAUAUGUGUUGCUUGGCCGAUUGGCCUGCCAACAAUGGCACAUACCAGGAGAGAACGCAGAAGGCCGCUUCGUGUUGUAUCUUGGUAUCGUGGGCUGUUUCCUUAUUUGGCUUGAGUGUGUGUGUGUGUGUGUGUGUGUGCGCGUGUGUGUGUGUGUGUGCGUGUGUGCGUGUGUGCGUGUGUGCGGGAAACACCGCACUAUCGGCCUAGCCUAGCGCCCAAACACAUAUGCUCCAACAUCCUCGCCAGACGUGCGGGCUCCCAUCUCAUGGCCUCCAACAUGCUCUGUUGAUUAUCGAAUCCCUUUUCCGCACGGAUAUCACUAUUAUUUGGCUUGUCAUUGACAGAUUUACUGGAUGUGUGCGGAGUAAGGUGAUAACUGUCUAUUCGUACUACACGUCUUCGUUAACCAAUAGAAAACAUCCUAAACAGGCCCGUAUGAGCAACCUGUUGAAUGACAUCAAUGUGAAGCAUAGGAUCCGAAAGCAUUAAAUGACUUGCUAUCGAUCUAUUUAGAGAAAUACUUGGGCCAGGCUGCAGCUGCCGGCCCCAUAGGCACAGGUGAACUGAGCACCCGCAGUAAGCCAAGAUGGAAACCCUGACCAAGUUACAAGUUACAGAGGACCAAGCUGGCUCCUUUCGCUCGGGCGGCUGUAGGACCGGGCCAUCUAUCAGCGAGGUGAGAUGGGUCUUCAACGGGUAGCAGUCCCACCUGGACAUAAAGCACCCACCACCCCUUUGACCUCUGUGGAGGCUGUUCGGGUUCAGGAGGGCUGGGGCCGCACCCGCAAAGAAAAUGGCUUCUUCAUCUUGCAGCACAUCUUAUUAAGGCGGCAUACAUCGUAGCACACCGUAGCAUAUCAAGGUGUGGGGUUGGUAGUGCCCAGUUGGUACUCCAUGCCGCCAUGAAACCCUUAGGAUUUCGAAUGUCUAAUUGGGGUGCAGGCCGGUCAAAGCAACUUAGGAGCCUCCCGAAGCCGCAGUCUGUUUGGAACAAAGCCUCUGCUCAAACUCCUCACCGCGCCUACCGUCUCUGUGCGGCUACACGUAAAGCUGAAAGGCUGGCCAAACUCAACGGCUGGAUUACAAACCUACAUCCCCUUAUGUCAUGUGGAAGAAUAAGCAGUGAAUAGCAGUAAUACGGGCACAUUACAAGUUUAUACGUGGUGUCGGAUAGGUUGCUCUUGACGGGCAAAUUUCCGCUUAGACGGAAUCAACCGGAGGCCGGAAGGAUAUACCAAGGUUGGGUACGACAGCUAUACGACAGUACUCCAGGAACUGUUCCGCUUACGCGUCACAGGUAACUACCGUUAUUAACGGAAUGUAAGUAACACCUCAACAGGCUGGUCUUCAUGAUUUGCGUGGGCUGGCCUACCGUUGAGACCUGAAGGCCUGCAACGGUCUUCUUCGUCAUAUCGCCGCACCAGGUGUGCUCUGAAGCGGCAGGGAUCCAGCAUCGAGAGUGACGUGCUUCAUAUUCAGGAUGGACCUGAGUCUGGACCAACGCCAACCAGUACACCGUCUGACUCAUACAACAUUGGAUUCAGAUGAAAGCUCUAAGUUUCAUGCACUGAUAGAUACAUAAUCAGGUCCAAAAAGGACAUUCAUGCUCCAGUGGGUCCUCGGCGAACAAUGCACAAAGCUCUGUGACUUUGCAUGCGGAAGCCAUCUAUUGAGUUUGCCGUUAACGUUUAAUUUUUCUUUGAAAAAUUGGUGGUCGAGAUGUAGACAAAGGCAUUGGCAGAAUUAGCAGAAAGGAACUGGGUGUGAGAGUCCGAUUUGUGAUGAAUGGUUGACAAACAGAACUCUAGCCUCCGAAACCAAAGGCCCAUUCGCAAGACCUUGUGUUCGUCGAAAAAACAAAUUUACUUUUCUUUGUAUGGAUGUAUCGUACGUCAUACUUGCCUCUUCUGGAGUACACUUUUGAACCAGGGUUUCGGUUGAGCAGGUAAACUCCUUCCUUUAUAGCAUGGAUAAGCGAUUUCUCUUAUCCGUAGGCAGACGCUAGCCCAAACCGAGUCGCAUAUAUCUUCAACCGGCCCUAGCUUCAUUUUGGACCGAUCCGGCCCUUACCCACCUGUAAGAGCGAGGAUAGUUUCGUGAAUGGCGAGUGUAUCGUCUUCAGAUAGUGACGACGCACCAAACCAAAUUAAUAGCGGCAGCAAGAUUGAGCCAGAGAUUCUUUCUUCGGAAUGGCUCGGUGUCGACGACGUCCACGACGGCAAUCACGAUGACGGCAGCGACCCGGACUAUACUGUUGACGACUCUGGAGACGGUGACGAUGAUGAAGACGAUGAUGUCGACGACUGCGAAGAUGAAGGCGAGGAGGGGGGCCAAGUGCGGGAUUUGGUCCCUGGGCAUGAUGGCGACGAGCUCGAGGACGAGGACGAGGACGAGGACCAGCCUGCCGACGAUUACUUGGACGAUGGAACGGAGGAGAACGACAGCGCUGUCAGCGACCCGGACAUCCGGCGCCCUAUAUCCGUUCAGGAGUUCUUGGCAUGGAGGCUGUUGGGCCGAGUGCCUAGGGAACGUGAGGCUACUCUCUGCAGGUAUCGCUGUUGGCGCUAUUGGGUACAACUUCACAUUCAUUUGGGUCGGGGUCUAUGUGGGAAGUCAGUUGAGACGCUGGAGCCUGGUUAGGCUGGCUCGCACAGGCUACCGGCUACGCGCAAUCUGUAGUACUUGGCACGCUCGGGAUUUUGGUCGGAACCAACUCGGUACGGUGCGGCUCUGUGCUGUUAUGUUCAAAUACGCGGAUUGGAUGCGGACUUCCCGUACCGUACGGCGUCGUAUGAAGGACGCAUGUCUUCAGGAGAGUGUUCAAGCGUUACGAUCAUCUUCUCGCGUUCGUUCCAGCAUACGAGCACACAGGCGUAUGGCUUGCAGCGGCUUCCCACUCCCCUCCUGUCAGCUGUCAGUCAGCACCCCUCAUGUAGGACGGGCACAUGUAGGAGCAGCAGUAGCAGCACCAAUGGUUGCAGCAGCAACGGCAAUAGGAUCGAUUGCAGUAGCAUCAGCCAACACGUACAUAUAUACACACUCAUACACACCCUGCGCCGUAGCUGGGUUCACGAAGUCCACCGACACCUAUAUCCCUCCGCCGGACUGCUGUCAAAACCUCCGCCAGGUACAUGCCGUACGAGGAAGCCGUACCCCGCGCCCUGACCCGUGGGUCACUCUGGCAGCAGCUACAACUGGACACCGGGGCGGUGGAGCCCCAGGCGAGGAACAGGGGCUACCGAUUCGAUGUGAGUGGGGUGCAGGGUAAGGGGUCAGAGGGACUCGACCCUGAACAGCCGACGACGGCCCGGCCUGGUGGAGAGAGGGGGGAUGUGGCUUCCGGGGCAUGAGUGUGUAUGUAUGUACGUAUGUAUGUGUGUAUCCAGCAUGGUUAUUUGUGCACAUAUCGCAGGAGGCCCCGGGUUGGGAGGAUGGGGCCUAUCGUACAUGGCUGGGAUGUGAGGGUGCCGCAUACGGCGGGGUAGUGGCACUCCGCGGGGUGAUGUGCGGGGCCCCGCUGUGGGUGCCCCGGGUGGCGGGCUACUGCGGCACUGCUGGCUACCUCGCUUCGGUUGUGGUUGGGCAGCUGGGGAACGGACUGGCGGGGAUGCGGGGUGGAUAGGGGGCGGGCGGGGAAGAGCGGUUGGGCGCCGGGUCGCGGGGCCCAGGGGUCCAGGGGGCUCCCUGGAGCAACUUCCCUCCGCUUCCAGAGUCCGUAAAGGAGGCCUGGCAGGCGUAGUACGACAGCUGCCGCCGGCCCCUGAGGGUACGUGGGGAGAGAUGGGGUGUGGGUAUCGCCAUCUCCGUCUUCUCAUCAUUUCCGUACUUCUAAAUGUGCUUUAUUGCCGUACCAAUUUGUUUUGCAUAUAGUCCCCCUUGUGGGCCUCCUGCACCGCCCGACCGCUCCCUCCCCAACGGCCACAGUCCCCUUUGGACGCCGGGUUCGAUAGCUGCAUGUUUGCAAGCCGGGAGGCACAGUACGGAAAGAAAAUACGACAGGUACGACAUAGUCUGAUAGUCGUGAUAGUCUGUGUACGAGGACUGCCUGGAGUAGUUCCAGGGAGGUUUGGGGCGCUAUGUGGGGUGUGUGUGUGUGUGUGUAUGUGUGUGUAUGUGUGUGUCUGUGUGUGUGUGUGGAGUGGGGUUCCCUUUGAGCUCGCUCUUCUAACUCUCCUACGCCCUUACCUACGUCCCAGUUCAGGAUGUCCUGCUGGACCCGUACCCUACGUAACCCCCCCCGCCUUAUAGCCCCCAUGACAGCCCCUCGGUAUGGCGUUACCACCCAACAUCUGGACUAGUCGUGGAAGUAAAGACCGCCAUCCCCCCCCGAGCGCGAAUGGGGCCCCCAGUGGUGUAUAUCUUGGCGAUGGCAAACGACGCUACCACCGUAACGUGCCGUACCAUCAUGCGUCAUUCCACACCUUACAUGCACCGGGCCCAAUCCCUCUCCUUCCCCCCAGGCGGUUCGCGAGGCAGUGGCUAGUGACCCACGGGUCACUGCCCGGGUCACCCUGCUGGGAACAUCAUCCCACAAAGCUACCGAUACCCUACCCGCCUCACCUGCCGCCGCCGCCGCCGCCGCCAGCGCCAGUCCACAGUCCGAGCCCACCCCAAUUAACACAACCGCCCCCACAACCACCCCCACAACCGCCUCCUGCUCCUCCGCCUCCACGCGAACGUUCUUCGCCGCGUGGGGCUGCCGGGCCUCACCAGCGGGGCCGGCUGGGCCUGCGGCUCCAGGGGUGGCGGCGGCAGCGGCGGCGGCGCCUCCGUCUGCUGCAUCUGCUUCUCCGGCUGACCUCCCCCCCGUCUGCUACCUUUCCGGCCUGGCUGUAGUCCCCUCGCCGCGCAUGAUCCGGAUCAGGGAGGUGGGGCAGGCGGGGGGCCCCGGGGCCGGGUCGGGUUGGAGCGCGUCUCAGAGGCGACACAUGGCUUGUCACCGAGCUCUACCGCGGUGAGGGUGGGUGGGUGGGGGGCGCUGGUUGUGUGGAGGCUGUGGCGUGGCUGUGUAUGCUGGGGAAGGGUUGGAAAUGCGUGCGGGGCUGAGGGGGGAAGGGGGCCGAGUGGGGCGCGCAGUGGGAUCCGCCCGGCAGCGUGUCGGCCCGUGCGCGCUCGUCCAAGCUGCAAGGCCGGUAUCGCCGUACAACACAUGCCCCGACUCCCCCGACUCCCUGCCCCACGACCCAAGCCCAGCUGGGUCACUCACGGUGUCGGGCCGUCUGCACCGUUCUGGGUUCGUGUCUGUCUUCCCUCCCCCUCCCCUCCAAAUCGUCCCCAUCUCCCGGCAUUCACUCGCUCGUGGCUCGUCUUUCCCCGUCCUCCUCCGCCUCUCCCUCCCUCCCACUCUGCUCUCCGGGCGCCUUAGACGUUGGCACCCGUUGAUUUGGGUUUUACAUUGUAUACCUCCACGCACUCACACACUCGGUCACUCGGUCACCACCGUUCCCCUUUGACCCCCGGGCCCCCCGAAACACACAUACGCCCACCCCGUAGCUACCCCCGGGCUGUGGUAGACAGUUUGGACUCCCGGGCCUACAUCGGACAGUUCUCAGCGGACGGGCGGUACUUCGUGGCGGCAUUCCAGGUGCGUGUGGAAUCGGGUAUGGGUAUGGAAUCGUGGGGUGUUGUACGGCAGAUGUUGGGGGGUUGAGGGGUUAGGAUCAGCGCAGAUGGGGCUUGGGGAGGGGUGCGAACCGGAGCUGGCUGGGGGCAGCGGUCCCCGGGGCUGGGGGUUUUGGGGGAGAGGAGGGGGGUGACGGAGGAGGGAGUGACGCAGCAUAUACAGAUAUACACAUCCCCGCUCCACGGCUUUCCGGCGCGCCACAGGACCGUCGUGUACGACUGUACGACGUGGAGCGGGGCUGGCGGCUACGGAAGGACAUCACCACACGGAUGUGCAGGUGGGGUGACCCGGCGGGUGGCUGGGGGUUGCAUUCCGUGUGGUGCUCCACUUUCCCUCCUGGGAGUCCCUUCGGGCCCCCGGGAAUUCGGCAUUCAUUCCCUCCUCCUCCUCCUCCUCCCCCCGUCGUGGCCCUGUCAACGCUUUGGACUCCCGUAGCACUUCGGACGCAUCAACUUUGGACAACGUUGCCGGCAGUUGUUCUCCCGUCUUGAUUUGGCAACAUAUAAUUCCCCCACCCCCCACCCCCCACCAUACACACACCCCGGCCCUGGGGUCACCCCCACCCCAGGUGGACAAUUACCGAUACCUCCAUCUCCCCCGACCAGCGCUUCGUCCUCUACUCAUCCAUCAUACCUAUCGUACACCUGGUGGAGGUACGGCAGGAUGGUGGGAAGCGAGGGGAGGCGGAGGGGAUUUGUGCUGGGGCGCAGAGACGGAGCCUUGUGUGCGUAUACAUGUCUGUGGUGCGUGUAUAUGUCUAGAAGUAUAUGUAUGUAUGAACGUAUGUAUGUACAGGUUGAGGGCUUCGAGAAAGGCAACAGGCUCCGGGGCCCGUUAGACACGAACCCUAAUGAUCAGGCAAUCACCUGUCUGCUCCCCCGCCCGCCCCCAAACCCCCGAGGGCCAGGGGCCCCUUAACGUGGAAUCUGUCUGUCGGUCUGUUUGUUAACCGCCAGACCCCUGGGUCCCACUCAGGUUGGGAGUGUGUACGACAGCGUGUCAUCAGUUUGUAAUAUCACCCAGGUAGGGAGAGGGUGGGGGGAGCCCAGUGAGGGAGUCGGGGGGAGGGAAGGGAGGGGAGGGGGAGGGAGGAGGGAGGGGGAGGGAGGAGGGAGGGGGAGGGAGGGAAGGGAGGGGGAGGGAGGAGGGAGGGGGAGGGAGGGAAGGGAGGGGGAGGGAGGGGGGGAGGGGGAGGGAGGGAAGGGAGGGGGAGGGAGGGAAGGGAGGGGGAGGGAGGGAAGGGAGGGGGAGGGAGGGAGAAGUGGGGAAGGGGGGCACCUAUCUUGCAGCUGGUGUGGUCUGUAGUUAAGACCCCACAGCGCCGCCUCUCCCCACAGUACACAGCCUGUCACCACCACCACCACCACCCGCACCCACAUUCCCUCGCUAACAGAUACACGAGCCCCUCAACUUUGAAAGCAGCAACGCGGGGGGCUUCGGAAUCUGGUGGGUGGUUGGGUGGUUGGUUGGGUGGUUGGGUGACACAGCGGGUGAGGAGUAUGGGUAGAAAUGGGGAAGGGGAAAGACUCGCCGACUUUGACCGUGGCCUUCCCCCUCUUCCCCCCCACCCCCCUCACCCCCGCGCCGGCCCUCCCGAAUGCGAUGAUGCGUGUCGUACGGUACAGGUCGGUGAAGUGGUCGGGAGAUGGACGAGAGAUUGUGGUGGGCAACAACGAUUCGGUGAGUCUGUCUGCCGGUCUGUCCGUCUGUCGGUCUGUCUGUCCGUCUGUCUGCCGGUCUGUUGUCCGUCUGUCGGUCUGUCUGUCCGUCUGUCUGCCGGUCUGUUGUCCGUCUGUCGGUCUGUCUGUCCGUCUGUCUGCCGGUCUGUUGUCCGUCUGCCGGUCUGUCUGUCCGUCUGUCUACUUGCAAAUAACCAGUGACGUGUCGGCGGGUGGGCGUUAAGGCUUGGGGGGAGUAUGGACCAGUCUCAAGGCAACUGCCUGCCAUGAUCGGGCCCAUCAGGCCCAUCUAGACGUCGAGUAUUCGCCCCACAUAGUAGUCUGUAGAAACCCGAAGUAAUAAACCUGAGUUGAAGAAACAAAAUCUGCUGAAGUAGGUGUACUCUUGGGGGCUCUGCCCUGACUCCUUCACCCCGACCCGCGUGGGACUUCGGCGGCUGCUGCAUGCGCCCACUUGUCGCCCCCUGGCCUCCACCACCCCAGCGACCCCCGGCCAUGGGGCCGCCCCACCACGAGCCCGCCGCUUCAGGUUUUCUUAUCGUUCCCCCUCCCCCCUUCUCACCCCCCCACACAGUCGGUGGUGGUUAUGGAUGUGGAGACAAAGAGGGUGGUCGCCGCAGCCAGCGGCCACACGGUGGGUGACGCCCGGGUUACGUCCUCCCCGCCCUCCCUUUCCCUGACGAAGGGGGAGUGUACGUUUGUAUGUUUGUAGUCAGUCAUGUGUUGAUUGUUGGUUGGGGUCCCGGCCUCGCGCCACACACACCCAGCGACAGACACCCCCGCAGUCCUAGAAGAUACGAAGAAGACACCAACAGAUGAUACGGGCGAGGGCUUGUGGCAGUGUGUGUGUGUGUAUAUGCACGUAUGUAUGUAUUUCGUGUGUGUAGUAAUUACGGCAGCCGCCUCGUAGCUACAGCCAUAGGGGGGUUCGGCAGCCUCACGGGCACGGAGAUCUCACUUCUCCCAGUUCCCCGCCUCCUCCUCCCCGUCCCCCGUUCCCUCACCACCGGCCGCAUAUGCCCCCGGUGCUCCGCAAGUGAACUGGCCUAACUUCACACCUCCCUACCCCCUUACAACCCCCCCUAAACUAUCCCCUACCCCCUCACCCCAGGACGACGUCAACGCGGUCACCUAUGCGGACGCCUCCCCCAACAUCAUCAUAUCGGGAAGCGACGACACGUUCAUAAAGGCACGUGUGCAUUAGGGAUGCGAAUUUACGUUUUACGUUUUUACGUUUUAAGGAAUUAAGGUUACGUAAUUACGUAAUUAAGAUUGGACCUGGCGGUAAUUUACAGAAUUAAGGGCUCGCCGUAAUAAGGUCCCUCAGGAGGGGUAGAAACCUUAAAAGCUUAACAGACCCAUGGGUCUUACAGGUUCCGCCGGUCUGCAAACCAGGGUGCCGCUGACCCGUCCACUCCUCCGAACACACCACAAACCCAGCCAUGGGGGAAGCGUGAAAGAGUCCAACAAUGCAGGUUGAAACCCGCGAUUCCCUCCGCCCAACCAAGCAAAAGAGCAAGUCAAGUAGUCAACACGACAAGUAGUCCUGGUUUGCAACGGUAUUAGGUGUCGUGGUCGAGUAUGUAUGCACGGCUUUCAAUGCUUAACGAAAUCCCCAUGGGCCCAACCAUGAGCCCAUCAUGCUGAGCCAACAAGCAAAAACAGCCGGUACUGAGGAAGGGAAGCUGCCAGGACUGAAAUCGUUUACUGCUCCGGCAGCUCCAGGCCCGGCUGGGCCUCCAUCCACCGAAUGAACUCCUCCCAGUCCAGCGAUAGUCGCCAAGUCGGCUGUACAAGCGCCAAACUGAUGUCAAAAUAUGUAAAUAAGUAAAGAAUGGUGUUGCGAAUGUGAAAACGCUGAAAUUGUGCUGAAAAUCCAAAAUCGUACACUAGUACGGCAACCUUAAAUUAAGGGUCCAGGGUCCAGGCCGUGGAAACCGUAAAUUACAGUAAUUUACUAUAUUACGCUUUUAAGCUUACGUAAUUAAGGUUGCCAAAUCCCAAUUCAGCUGAAACUCACAUCCCUAGUGUGCAUGUGUAUAGGUGGAUAUAAGAACGGUGUUGGGGGGAAAAGGGUUAAGGGGGGAAGCGUGCUGUACCGCAUGCCGCCGCACCCUGUACUGCACCUUGGGGAGGGGGAGGGGGAGGGGCCGAGCCGGCGGUGGCAUAAGCCCCGCACCAGCCGUUGGACCUGGCGACCGGCUUGGUUCUGUCCGUGGGGGCUUCCCCCUCUUCGCCCUCACCCUCGCCCUCACCCUCGCUUCCUGUCCCUGUGCCUUUCCGGGAGCAGCAGCACGCACUCCGCAAUGAUCCGCCCUCAUCACAACUCCAGCUGUGUUGCCAUAUCUCUUCUCUGUCUCUCUCUCUGUCUGUCUCUCGCACCGGUGCCGGAUACCGGGUGCCGCUAACGGGCCCCCCGACACCUCGCCUACACCCACCCAAAACUUGUGCAGGUGUGGGACCGCCGUACCAUGCCCGGACCUGAGGACCCCAGGAACUCCCGCCCUGGACCCCGACCCGUAGGUCAGUGGACGGCGCGUGACGUCGUAGAUCGACAGACAGACAGACAGACGCACACACACGCACACACACACGCACACACACGCGCGCACACACACACGCACACACACGCGCACACACACACACACGCGCGUGCGCGUCGCGUGGGGUAUAGAGCACCUUCCGGCACCACCCCCCGUGGCCCUUGCACCGGCUACUGUACGUGCUCCUUCCUACAUACCUAUAGCUCGCUCACCUCCGCGGCCCACCACAUCAGCCACCUCACAACCAUGUCCGCCCAGCACUGCACUGACCUCAACCCAGGGCGCACACACGUCCGCUUGUGACGCUCUCUGCAGCCACCGGGCGCCAACUGGCAGUGCUCCUCCUCGCCUUGCCACGUGUUGUGUUGUGUUGUGUUGUGUUGUGUUGUGUGUGUUGUGUUGUGUUGUGUUGUGUUGUGUUGUGUUGUGUUGUGUUGUAUUGUGUUGUGUUGUGUUGUAUUGUGUUGUGUUGUGUGGCGAGCCGAGAGCUACUAGACGCCGCAACUGGGGAUGUCCAGGUGCACUUGUUGUCCCAUUUCGACACGGCAUCAUAUACUAACCCUCGAUCCGCUAGACCGGGUAGACCGGCUAGACCAGCUCCCCGCACUGCGAUUCCCCAGAAGCCGAAGCGCCAAUCUGACCGUUAUUUUCCGCCCGCGCACGUACCCAGACCCGCAGCACGCGCUCCCGGACUUCGCGCCUUUUCCCCCUUCCCCCUUUGUCUUACCGCCGCGGCAGGUGUGUUUGUCGGCCACACGGAGGGUUUGACUCACCUCCACUCCAGGGGGGACGGACUGCACGUACUGUCCAAUGCCAAGGACCAGACCGCUAAAUUGUGGGACUUACGGAUGGUGCGGGUGAGGAGUGGUGGGGGGGGAAGAGGGAGGGAAAGGGGAUAGGAGCGGAAAGACGGAGAGGUGGCGUUAGUAGCCGAGACAACGAACCGGACCCUCCCCCAUACGUACUAAAUUUCUUGUCUUAUCGGGGAGGCGACUCCUCUCGGGGCGGGAGAAGGUCAGGGUUGCGGUAUGUCCCUGAAUGUCGCCCAAUCAGGGUAUUUCUUCCCGACCAUUACCUCCGCUGCCUCGCAUCCGCCCUCCCCACCCGCUCCUCACCUCAUACCCCACCCAGUACGACAUCCUUUGCGCAUCUUUGGCUUCAUGAAAUAGAACCUUCAAAAUUAACGGGCCCGGCUGUCCCCACACAACCCCCUUCCCCCCCCAAAGGAGGGCGGCUCUCUCAGACACCCGGCAGCCAGUGAGGACCACCUGGCAACCACUCACGUCCCGCGGUAUAACUGGGACUACCGGUAUGUCGUACUACUACAACGCCGCGUAUGCUGUACACAUUGUCGAUUCGAAUGCCGGUUCUUAUUCUGUGCCGGUUCUGUGCCGGUUGCAGCCUAUUUUGGCCCCGCACACAUGUGACAGACACACAUACGCACACAUGUGACAGACUCCUGCUUGCCACAUACAGACACACACACGCGUACACAUACACACACGCAUACAUACGUGUGCAACUCGUCAGUCUCUCGCGCCACCGCCCCGGCCUUUCACCCCGUGAAUAACAUUCUCAGCUGGCAGGAAUACCCGGGCACAAGUCGCGUCGUAAAGCACCCGCUCGACAGCUCCGUACAGACAUUUCGUGGUCACACCGUACAGAGCACCCUCAUCCGUGCGUACUUCAGCCCCGCUCACACCACGGGACAGCGCUUCGUGUACACGGGCUGUGCGACGGGCGGAGUGCACGUGUACGACAUUGUUACAGGGCAGGAGGUGGAGGGCAGUCCGCUGCGAUUGCACCGCAAGCUGGUUCGAGACGUCAGCUGGCACCCCUUCGACCCGGUACUGGCAACUGUUAGCUGGGUAAGAAGUGGCGGCUGGGGCUGGGAACUUGGGUUUGGGAUAUGCCGUUAGGCCACGGGGAAGGAGAAGGGCAAACGAAGGGGGGGUACGGCAGGAAAGAUAAUGUGCCGAGGUCGAUAAUCAUGAGCGUGGUCGGAGGCCGGCAAGUGGUCUCCCGGCUGGGAGGUACUGGUCAGCUGUUUGUGUGUGUAUGUGUGUGUGUGGACGGGACGUAGCCGUGGACGCUCUGCUCAUCUUGGGUUGGGUUUUCCAGGUGGAUGUGCGUGGCUUAAUGUGCGGGGACGGGCUGGGAAAGCCGGGGUGAUUGGCCUAGCUGAAGAAGUCAUAAGUGAAAACGAUGGAGGGGCUUUCACAGAGGCUAUGCACUUAUUUUCCGUGGUCCUCUCUUCCUCGCGCUGUCUGUUCCAUGAUUGCGAGCUCCAGCCUCCCUCCCUCAUCGCCUCAUACUUAAGGAAUAAAUUACGACGACCCAGCAACUUUGUUACUUAGGUUGGAAUAAAUUGAGACCCGCCCUAAAUGAAAAAAAAUCACUGCUCAUCGGCCCGCAGGAUGGCACGGUGGUGCGCUGGGACGCGGUGCCGCCUGACACAGACUCGCGGCCACUGCUGGUGCCAGGUCGCGACGCCUUCAACGAUAAUUACUACUAAGAGCGGCUUCACCUCAGAACCUCAGAACCUUCCAGAUCUGCGAUUGCUUUCACGGGGAGGGGGAACCCGCUGGGAGCGUUACGCUGGGCUGCUGUAAUUGGGAACUGCAAGGAUGUGCCUUUGCCGUGAAAGGGCCUUAGGUUGUAGGGACGUGUGAGGCUGUAGGGAUGUGUGAGGGUGCAAGGAUUGCGUUGAGUACACUGCACUGCGGCGACAAUCUAUUGCAUAUUUUGCUGACAAUUCAAUGAAGGUAUGCGAUGAGAGUAGGCGGAUAGGUUAGAGACUGUACUGAACUUAAGAGCUGCGCAAGCCGUUUUGUAAGUACUGUCGCCACGGCGAUGAUCUGUCGAGUGCACGUGUGUGUUUAUAACAACAUGAGGAAUAGUUGCUCAGUAUUAUAAGAGUUCCCCAUGCUAACUUAAUUUUCCUAGCCUAGGAAGUAAAGCAAAACACUGGUCCGGGUGUAGCGCCCGUCUUUUGAAAUUUUUAUGGAGAUACUUUCGGUUGUCUACGGGAGUUGCUAGAAUGAACGUGGUUUUCUUUAGGCAUAUCUACUCUGCUACUGUGAAAUAGGCCCAAAUCUUGUAAAUUUUCUAGUACGUCGAUAAUGUUAUAUCUAUUUGGUCCAGGCAAUGUUGUCUGAUGUUUUUGGGGAGACCGUGGUGUUUUGUCUAGGUAAUCUCUGAUGAACAUCUUGAAUUUGAUACGGGAUGAAAAGCAUACAUGGUGCCUUACAGCACUAAGUCAAUUUUGCCCACUGUUGCGGUAGGCAAAAAGCAACAUACGGGCCAACCUGCCACGGCCACUCCCUACUACUCAAAAGCAGCACUCCGACCAAACGCAGCCGGGCAUGUACUCCAAAACCAAUGCUUAUGUUACCAACGAGUCCUAACACGACGUCAGCUAGGGUAGUCGCGCUCGUAGGUUGAACGGAUGUCCAAACCUCGCGCAGCUGCGAAGAAGACAACCAAAAACAAAACGUGUCCACUAAGCACCGCCCAUAACCACGCCCUUGCUACACUCGGCGAUACGCUUAGUAGACGUAGCCCUUCUCGUACAUGCCCUGGGCAGCCUCCUUGCCCUCAGUGGCAGGGUCGUACUUGCCGAGCUGAGCAUCGGAGUUCGCCUUGGCGCGCUUGAGCAGCGCGGCCUGAGCAGCUGGGACGUUCUCGGCCUUGCCCUGCCACGUCUUCAGGACGGUGUUCUGCAGAGCGCGGGCGUAGGAGAACGACACGUGCCACGGGUUCGGCGACUGGUUCAUGGCGUUCAGGUUGAGGGUGGACUCCAGCUCCGACUGGCCGCCCGACAGGAACAUGAUGCCAGGCACGGCCGGCGGGACGCGGCGACGCAGCAUCUUCAGGGUGUACUCGGCAACCUUGGCUGGGCCGGCGCGGUUAGGGCAGUCAGCACCAGGGGUGACCAUGGCGGGCUUCAGCAGGAUACCCUCGAACAUGACCUUGUUGUCGGCCAUGUACUUGAAGGUCUCAGCCCAGAU